rnacentral:rRNA from 1 species
GCCAGACUCCUACGGGAGGCAGCAGUGGGGAUAUUGCACAAUGGGGGGAACCCUGAUGCAGCGACGCCGCGUGGGUGAAGAAGUAUUUCGGUAUGUAAAGCCCUAUCGGCAGGGAAGAAAUUGGACGGUACCUGACUAAGAAGCCCCGGCUAACUACGUGCCAGCAGCCGCGGUAAUACGUAGGGGGCAAGCGUUAUCCGGAUUCACUGGGUGUAAAGGGAGCGUAGACGGCCAUGCAAGCCUGGAGUGAAAGCCCGGGGCCCAACCCCGGGACUGCUCUGGGAACUGUGCGGCUGGAGUGCGGGAGGGGCAGGCGGAAUUCCUGGUGUAGCGGUGAAAUGCGUAGAUAUCAGGAGGAACACCGGCGGCGAAGGCGGCCUGCUGGACCGCGACUGACGUUGAGGCUCGAAAGCGUGGGGAGCAAACAGGAUUAGAUACCCUCGUA